CUAAUCUACCGCUAUUUCAGCCAGCAACUGCAACUCGGCAGUUACCGGCCUGUUUCUCUAGCAGCAGCCUGGCCACUCAGGCUGCAGCCUGGCGCGAAUUCUGUUCCCGCAGGCACUGGCCCUGUCACUGCCACUAAAGCUUGUUAGCCCUGGACACCACUCCCCCUGGCCUCGCCUUUUCCUCGGUGGCAGCCACAGGACUCAGCAGGACUUCCCUAAGAACGAAGGACACUGUGCCCUCAAGGGAAGAGGGGGUCUCCUGGGCUCCGGAGUGAGAGAUUAUGGUGUUCACCCAGUUAUCAAGUCAGACAGGCGGCUCCAGGACAGAGGAAGGAAGCGGGCACUGGAGCUGCUCAGAAAGGAGCAGGCCAUCCCCAGGGCAGAGGAAAAGGUAAGAGGUCUAUCAUGGCUCACAGCUAAAGUCAAGAUCUGCAUCUGCAUCUGGUAAUGGCCUCCUGAGGCAGCCAAGGCCUGCAUGGAAAGACGGAGUGUGUGUGGUUCAUGUGUGCACUUGGUGUGAAUCUGGAUGAGCAUCCUUGAAUUUGUUUAUGUAUGGAAGAAAACAGCAAAUAAAAGGUGUUCCAGGUCCAAAA